AUGCUGCAUUUUCCCAGCACUUUAGAGUUAGGAGAAAGAAGAGUUGGUUAUAGCCAUUUUUGUGAAGCCCUACCUAGCUUGGUGCUGCUUCUGGACCAGAUUCAGCUGACUUGUAACCACCAGCAAUGCUGUUGCCUAAUUCAGGGGAUGCAAAGUUGCCCACUUGCCUGUGAUGGAAAGGAUCCUCACCCUCACCCUCUCAAAUCUCCUGUAGGCUGGUGUGAGACGAACCAAACCCGACCUUCGGGGAGCGGCAGAGUCUGGAGCCAUGGGACGCCUUGGGAAAAGCGUAAAACACGCUGCUUGUAGUGGCGUCCUGUGACCGAGUCCUCCUGAAGGUAAUGUGGCUGUAAACCUGGAGUAACGCUUCUUUGACUUUUAAUGGUAAUGUGUGGCUUGGUGUGGAGUACUUGAUGCUGUGGAACUUGGGGCUAGAUUUUUUUGGGGUUAUUUUGUUGUACUAUCAUGAACGAAAAGGUACAAAUAAAAUACAGAAAGUUCUCUGCUGUCCUUGGUCAUGGUGCGCUUACUAAAUGUUGUAGAUGUGCUGUAGAUGGACUGGAUUUUAGUGGGGAAAACGCGUGCUGCUGUCCGUGUCGCAGUGUGCACUGUGUGGGCGAGUAGGAGGUGUUUGGGAGUGGGAACUGCCUGUGCAAGGUCUCCCCAAAGGGAGCUGGGAAUCAAAGCCUGAAAUGUUCCCUGAAAUGAUCCGCAACAAGCUGGAAAAGAGGAGAGGGGGGGAAAAAAAAAAAAAAAAAGCUGGAUUUUAUUUGGUUUUGGUGUUUUUUUUUAAAGCACUUUUCACAGUUGUGUUGCGCACUGAGGUUUUCUGGAUCUGGAUGUAUGGGAUGUACUUAUUAUUUUUUACUUAUUUGGGGCAGGUCUGGGGGUGCGUUUUAGGGAUCUUAUUCAGAGACGUGGCCCACAGCUGGAUUACCGUGCCCAUCUAGUUCUGAUGGUGCUCCAAAGGGUUAACUUCUGCCAAACCUGAUCAAGCCGGAGAAUUUAAUUCAGGUCCUCUAUUGAGAUAAUUUUCUCCUCCUCCUCUGGGGGCGGGCCUGGGCCUUCUGGCCCCGCCCUCCCCCCAGCCGGAGCCCCGCCCCGGGGCGGUGCUUACCGUCAGCCCCUCCCUCCCGCCGUGCGUGGCGUCGCGGGGCGGGGCCGCAGCCUCCCUCUAACGGUCGGCGCCGCCCCUGC
rnacentral:lncRNA from 1 species